rnacentral:lncRNA from 1 species
UACCACUGUAACAUAUUCCUUUAUUUGGUUAGUAACUAAAUACAUAACAAAAACAGCACUAGUGGUGGUAUUAUAUGUUACAGUGACUCAGGCUGAGAAAGUGAAUAUCUAUUGGAGCCUGCAGUAUGUUAUACAAGGCAAUUACAAAUAUAUGCAAAAACUGGAAUGGGGGGCGGUGUUAGCUCCAAGCCUUAAUAAAGCCUUUUGGCACCCAGCAUCUAACACAGAAUCAUUGAAUCAUAGAAUCCCAGACUGGUUUGUGUUGGAAAGGACCUUAAAGCUCAUCCAGUUCCAACCCCCUGCCAUGGGCAGGGACACCUUCCACUAGAGCAGGUUGCUCCAAACCCCGUCCAACCUGGCCUUGUGCACUGCCAGGGAUGGGGCAGCCACAGCUUCUCUGGGCAACCUGUGCCAGGGCCUCACCACCCUCACAGGGAAGAACUUCUUCCUAAGAUCUCAUCUCAACCUCCCCUCUGUCAGGUUGAAGCCAUUCCCCCUUGUCCUGUCCCUACUUGCUCUUGUAAAAGGUUUUAUAUAAAAUUUUAUAUUAAACAAAAAAAAAAUUUAUAUAACCAUCUACCUCAGCUGCUCUAGACAUAUGUGAUUUCUAUCCAUUUUGAUCUUACUCUUUCAUAAGUGUCAUAUAAAGAAUAGACUUUGAAUUCUUUUUUAUCAAUUGUCUGGUUUGUAUUUGUCAAAAUCAUAUAUUGGCACUUAGUUAUAGUUUGUGAGAAGUAUCUGAGCUUUUAGCCAUUGUAUUUAACAACUGUGAAACAUGAAGUCACAAAGGAAGACUAUUGUACCCAUAUCCAUGCGCAAGGAAAGGUUCAGGAUGAAAAUAAGCUUCAUUACAACAAUCCGUAGGAAAUGAGUGAUUAUUUGGUUUUCAAGUAUUUAGGGCUUUAUUUUCAUUGUACUUGACUUCUGAAUGCCUGCUGCCGAAUACCAGAUAUGUUUUCAUGUCUAUAGGUUUGUCUGAAAAUUCAGGCAAAACAGAAAAAAACCCCAAUGUUUUGGGAUGAGUAAUCAGAGGCAAAGCAGGAGAAGGGCUGUUUGGGAAGCAAGGCCAGGCAGAAGAAACAAGACCCCCAUUCUUCACCACAGUCACAACAGCUUUGAAAGGGUUGGCUGGCAUUGAAAUGGCUGCUUGCUGUUAAAGUAUAUCCCAAACUUGGUGCUUUACUCUCAGUAGCAGCACAGCUCUGGCACUGAGAGGGGCCUGUAAUGCUCUGUAGAGCUAAUAUCUCUUAAUCUAAAUACAGGUCUCCCUUCAUGGCUUUUUUUCCUAGUGGUUUCGGGUGAAAGCAGGAGUAGGUGGAAGGAAGGGAGGACUGGGGGGGGCAGAUAUACUCUUCAUGUUGUGCUCCAUGAAGGAAUCUCACAUCCACCAAGACAUGAAUCUACAGACUCACCUCUUUCUGGGGCAGGAUUGGGCCAGGGAGGUGUUGUAAAGUAGCAGUUUUUCAUUGUGAGCCACCCCUGACACUGCUUUCCUAAAUCUAGUUGUGCCCUGGUGUCGUGGUUUGAGCCCAACCGGUAACUCAGAACCACGCAGCCGCUCGCUCACUCCCCACCUCUUCCUCAUCCCACUCCCGGAGGGAUGGGGAGGAGAAUCAGAAGAAUGUAACUCCCACAGGUUGAGAUAAGAGCAGUCCCGCAACUAAGGUAUAAUACAAAACCACUACUGCUGCCACCAAUGAUAAUAACAAUAAGGGAAAUAACAAGGGGAGAGGAUACAAUUGCUCACCACCCGCCGACCGAUACCCAGCCCGAUCCGAGCAGUGAUCUGGGCCUUCCAGGUAACUCCACCAGUUUAUAUACUGGGCAUGAUGUGCUGUGGUAUGGAAUACCCCUUUGGCUAGUUUGGGUCAGGUGUCCUGUCUCUGCUUCCUCCCGGCUUCCCCUCCUCCCUGGCAAAGCAUGAGACUGAGAAAGUUCUUGGUCAGAGUAAACAUUACUUAGCAACAACUAAAAACAUCGGUGUUAUCAGUGUUGUUUCCAGGCUGAAAGUUAAAAAACACAGCACUGCACCGGCUAUUAAGAAUUAGAAAAA